rnacentral:rRNA from 1 species
AGUGGGGAAUAUUGCACAAUGGAGGAAACUCUGAUGCAGCAACGCCGCGUGGAGGAUGACGCAUUUCGGUGUGUAAACUCCUUUUAUAUAGGAAGAUAAUGACGGUACUAUAUGAAUAAGCACCGGCUAACUCCGUGCCAGCAGCCGCGGUAAUACGGAGGGUGCAAGCGUUACUCGGAAUCACUGGGCGUAAAGCGCAUGCAGGCGGUUUAUUAAGUUGGAAGUGAAAUCCUAUGGCUCAACCAUAGAACUGCUUCCAAAACUGAUAGACUAGAGUCUGGGAGGGGAAGAUGGAAUUAGUAGUGUAGGGGUAAAAUCCGUAGAGAUUACUAGGAAUACCAAAAGCGAAGGCGAUCUUCUGGAACAGUACUGACGCUGAGAUGCGAAAGCGUGGGGAGCAAACAGGAUUAGAUACCCUGGUAGUCCACGCAGUAAACGAUGAAUGUUAGUCGUUGGGACUCUAGUAGUUUCAGUGAUGCAGUUAACACAUUAAACAUUCCGCCUGGGGAGUACGGUCGCAAGAUUAAAACUCAAAGGAAUAGACGGGGACCCGCACAAGUGGUGGAGCAUGUGGUUUAAUUCGAAGAUACGCGAAGAACCUUACCUAGCCUUGACAUACUACAGAAUUUGACAGAGAUGUUGAAGUGCCUUCGGGAGCUGUAAUACAGGUGCUGCACGGCUGUCGUCAGCUCGUGUCGUGAGAUGUUGGGUUAAGUCCCGCAACGAGCGCAACCCUCGUCCUUAGUUACUAACGGUUCGGCCGAGGACUCUAAGGAGACUGCCUUCGUAAGGAGGAGGAAGGUGAGGACGACGUCAAGUCAUCAUGGCCCUUACGGCUAGGGCAACACACGUGCUACAAUGGUUAGGACAAUGAGAAGCGAUACCGCGAGGUGGAGCAAAUCUAUAAACCUAAUCUCAGUUCGGAUAGCAGUCUGCAACUCGACUGCUUGAAGCUGGAAUCACUAGUAAUCGUAAAUCAGCUAUGUUACGAUGAAUACGU